GGAUGCAAGGGCGAUCUGGCUGUGACAUCUGUCACCCCAUUGAUCACCAGGGUUGAUUCAGCUGAUCUCACUGGCUAGGUGGGUGUCCCCUUCCUCCCUCACCACUCCACGUAUGUCCCUCCUGAAGCUAUGCACUCGGUCAAAGAGGAUGACCUUCCCUGAUAAAGACAGUACUGUUUAUUUGUCAAAGGUACAUGGUACCUGUGCUCCGCUGCUAGAACCUCCAAAAGAGGUCAAGGUCCAUUUGUAGGAGAACGUAGGGUAGUCAAGCUUCCAAGACAGUAGACAUGUGAGGCACUGCAUGGGGCAGUCUGCCAUUGUAA
rnacentral:snRNA from 1 species